GGGUUGAUUACUGGAUGAGCCGCUGCAGGUGGUCAGAAACCAGGAUCGGACACGCCCACACACAUAGUACAUGACAAACAAGACUGAUGGGGACAGCAGGGAAGGGAACUGUUGCUUGCAGCAGUCUGCUGAAAGGUGUAUAUUGCAAAGAUAUUUGCAUGGUCGUCGGCGUCACCAGGUCAUUUUUCCGGGGCUUUGGACGGGGAUGUAGCCCUGAAUACUGUGUGGAUACAGAGGACAACACUGACUCUGGUGAAUGUGCACAACUGUGACAAGCCGUCCCUUCUAAACCAUCUUGUGCUGAGGGAGGUAACAAUUUGCAGAUGCUAAGGUGCCACCUGCUCAUCAGAACGGAGAUAAACAUUCAUUCAUUCACAUUCACACAGUGAUGGCACAGCCACCAGGAGGAGUUUGGGGUGUCUUGUCCACGGACAACAUACAGACUGGGGGAAACUUCCGGUUAGUGGACGGCCCCUCUGCCCCCUGAGCCACAGCUGCCAGUAAAGAAAGGAAGACAAAAAAGGUGGUGGGACUGUUUAGAAACUUCAGGAAUGGAGUCUGACUUCAUACCUUUUUAUUUUUUUCUGUAUUUGUUAUUUUUGCUGAUUAAACAUUAGUGCUA